rnacentral:lncRNA from 1 species
AAAUGGACCUUUGAUGAUCAUCAAAAGUUUGUUUUAAGAUUUUUACUAAAGUUAAGCUAUCAAUCGAGUGAGUUAAAACUAAAAAUAUAUGCACAACACAUUGAUGUGUGUAAAAGACACUGAAAAUAAUUCUUAAAUUAUUAAUGACUUCAUGUAACUAAGUAAGUAAGCACUAAAAACUAUUAAAGUAGAGUUCAAAAUUCAUAGUCUUUUACUUAUAAAAUGAUCAAUUAAUUUUGUAUUUAUUAUAUGUAAGAGGAAAAAAAAUGACUAAAAUUCUCAAAUUUGUUCAGAUUUUGAUCAUUUUUCUUUGUCUAAUUGUUCUUGUAACCGGCGAAGGUAAAAUUCAUUUUUACAAUUAUUUCAAAUUAUCAUUAUCAUAUACAUAAUAGUUCAUCUUUUUUUUAGUAAUAUUUCUUUUCUAUCUUAUAUCAUAGGUCAUUUGUUUUGCUAUAAUAAGACUUUGCAUUGUGAUCCCAAUCCCCAUGCUUGCCGUGCUGGUUAUGUCAUGAAGUGCCAUAUAUUUCGGUGUGACUGCCAGCCAAAGCCAGUGGAGUUGAAAAAUAGUUCUAUGUUAUUUCUAAAUGUAUAAUUUUCUUGUAAGUUAUAAUGUGGGUAUUUAAAGAAUAAAGUCAAUAAAUACUAGUGUAUUGACCUAUUGUUGUUCGGGUUAUACAUAUAUACAUAAUGCAUAAUAUUUAUUAAAAAUAUUAUACAUUUUAUUAUUACACU